GUAGCGGGUCUGAGAGGAUGAUCCGCCACACUGGAACUGAGACACGGUCCAGACUCCUACGGGAGGCAGCAGUGGGGAAUUUUGGACAAUGGGGGCAACCCUGAUCCAGCCAUGCCGCGUGAGUGAAGAAGGCCUUCGGGUUGUAAAGCUCUUUCGGCCGGGAAGAAAUCGCACAGGCUAAUACCCUGUGUGGAUGACGGUACCGGAAUAAGAAGCACCGGCUAACUACGUGCCAGCAGCCGCGGUAAUACGUAGGGUGCGAGCGUUAAUCGGAAUUACUGGGCGUAAAGCGUGCGCAGGCGGUUUAGUAAGACAGGCGUGAAAUCCCCGGGCUCAACCUGGGAACUGCGCUUGUGACUGCUAAGCUAGAGUACGGCAGAGGGGGGUGGAAUUCCACGUGUAGCAGUGAAAUGCGUAGAGAUGUGGAGGAACACCGAUGGCGAAGGCAGCCCCCUGGGCCGAUACUGACGCUCAUGCACGAAAGCGUGGGUAGCAAACAGGAUUAGAUACCCUGGUAGUCCACGCCCUAAACGAUGUCAACUAGGUGUUGGGAGGGUAAUACCUUUUAGUACCGGAGCUAACGCGUGAAGUUGACCGCCUGUGGA
rnacentral:rRNA from 1 species